ACUUUGGUGGUUAUUUAAAGCGCUUCAUUUUAUUUUGGAAAGUCAGUGUUGCUUCCUGUGCAGUUGUUCACGGCAGGUGUAUUCAGGGUUUAACGGAAGCACAUAGCCCAUUGGUUUAUGACCUGUGGUUACCUGUGGUCACCUGUGGUCAUUUGAACAUAAAUAAAUAAAUAAAAGAAGACCAAGGAUAAACACGAGUUAUAGCUUCAGUGUGCUUCCUGUUGAGCCUUUUCGGAGGGCAAAAUUU